rnacentral:lncRNA from 1 species
CUUGAAGACCACCAGACGUGCUAACCUCAGUGAGGAGAAUCCAUGCUGGUUAGUGGAGAGGGAGAUAGUAAAAAUCAGUUAUGCCCUUAGGAUAACCAGUAAUAGGGGGGCACUAUAGUUUAUCACAAUAAUUUUUUCUUUACCUAGUUUUCCUACUGGAAUGGUAGAAGUUGCUCCCAAAAUCUGCAAGAAGAAGUGAAUCCAAGCAGUUCAAAAUGUGGUUUGUGGUAAAUACUUCAUGUGCUACCAGAUCCCUCUUCACUACUAAAGGACUCUCCUUUUGGCUUAUUGGGGUGCUGAUAGAAGACAGUCCUCAGUUCUGAACUUCUCUGGAUGAUUGCCUUUACUGAGAAAACCUGCCUGAUCCCAAACACAUUUCUUUUAGGGCAGCUCACAUGCAGACAUUGAUUUGCCAUGGGGUAGAAGGUUCUGGUAACCUGGCCUUAACUGAGGGCAACACUGAAGGACUGGGCCAGCUCCAGAGCUCUUCCUGGAGUCACCAUAGGUCUUUAUCACUUACCUGUUAAUCAUCAUCCUAGUGUGUCUGCUUCUCAGAGAACCCAAACUGUAGCAAGCAUUCUAUCCUGAUAAUAUAAUUGAAACCAUACCUAUCAAAAAAUAAUGCGUGUGUAUAUACCAAAAUAACAUAAAUGCUGAUCUGUAAUAAAAAAAUAUGGAAUUAUAUAAUACUCUUAUAAAGAUUUUAACACAUUUUAAAAAACUGAUAGAUGAAGAAGUCAGAAUUAGCAAGGAUAAAGAAGGCUGGGCAUGAUGGCGCACAUCUAUAGUCCCCAGCACCUUGGGAGGCUGAGGCAGAAGGAUUGCAAAUUCAAGGCUAGCCUCAGCAAUUUAGUGAAGUCCUAAGCAACUUAGCAAGACCCUGUCUCAAAAUUUAAAAACAAAUAAGUAAAUAAGUAAAUAAAUAAAUAGGGCUGGGGAAGUGGCUCAGUGGUCAAGUGCCCCUGGGUUCAAUACCUGGUACAAUAAAUAAAUAAAUAAAUAAAUAAAUAAAUAAAUAAAUAAAUAAGGAUAACGAUGAUUUUACUAGCAUAGUUGACAUCUUUUAGGUGACAACAUAAUGUAACACUAUCCCACAUACAACAUUAGAUAUAUUCCAAUGUCCAAGGUAUGGGGAUCACAUGAUUUUUUUGUCUCAUUUUUAAAGUUGAUUGUGUACUAGUUUACUAACAACCUCAAAAACUUCCAAAUAAUUGAUAAACAGAACAGUUUGUGUUACUACAGUAUAACAAAAUGAAUAAUAUUGUGUCUUCUCAAACAUAUGUUUUAUUUUAAAAAAAGAUUCAGUAAUUAAAAAACAUUUAUCUCCACAAAAAAAACAUAAGGCCUACACAAUUUUAUACAGAAAUUUUUACUAAAAAUCAGAAACUCAAAGUCCCUAUGUGAUAUAAUCUGUUUCAGUGAAUAUACAAAGAAAGAAAAUUACCCAUCAAAUGAAAUAAAAUUUAUUGUCCUCUCCAUGACACAGAUAAACAAAUUAUGACAUUAGCAAACCCAGAAUUGCACUUAGAGUAAGUUAUGAUAAAACAGUUCAUCCCAAACAGCAUUUGAAAACCUAUUUAUAUAAUUCAGCAGAUUAACAGAAAAAAAAGGGAAAACAAUAUGUGAGUGUCUCAAUGGAUGUAGAAAAAUAUUUUGUAAAAGUCAACACCCAUUCAUAAAUUAAGGGAAAAAAACAGUGCAAUAGUCAUAGAAAGAAGCUUUCUUAACCUAAUAAGGAAUAAUCUCCUCAACCCACUGAAAAAUUCAUACUUUAUGGUCAGAUUUUAGAAGCACUCACAUUAAAGUUCAGACAAGAAACUGUUGACUCAAAUCACUUCUCUGUAGCAAUUACUGGACGCUGUCAACAAUUCAAAAAACACAAUAAAAAGAAAUAAAUGAUACAAUUAUUGGAAAGAAAGAGACACGAUUGUUAUUUGCAGAUGGUAUCAUUGUUUGCAUACAAAAUGCAAAAGAACCCACAGACGAACUAUUUAGAAUUAAAAAGUUCAGGAAGUUUGCUGGAAAUAAGAUCAACAUACAAAAAUGAUUAGAUUUUAUUUAACAGUAAUUGGAAACUAGAAAACAUUAUUUUAAAAAGUUCCUGUUCACUAUUACUUUCAAAUUUACACAGUGCCUAGGGGAAACCAUUUGAAAAUGGUAUUUAAUACUUUUAUGGGAAAAUUAUAAAACCAUGCAAGGUCAAAAUAACCUUGGUUAUUUAUAUGCAAGGGCAACAUCAGGAACAUAUUCUAUGAAUUACUCCCGAUGUUGAUUGACAAAUUACAAAUAAAGUUUUUUAUUCAGGAAAUUUUAUGAACUUAUUUAAAAAUUCCUGUCUAUGAAUAAAUGUUCAAGAAUAGCCAGAAUGUUUAUGAGAAAGGAUUAAGACUAAUUACUCUUUAAUAUUAUUUUAAAUAAAUUACUUUAAUAAAUUAUUUUAAAUCUAUCAUAAUUGAAACAGUGUGGUAUUUUACAGGGUUAAACAUAUAUUAAUUACACAGAUUUCAGAGCUUUGAAGUAGACCCUAAGGAAUUAGGAAACUUGAUUUAUGAAAGUAGUGGCCUCACUAAUCAGAAUCUAUUGAAAUAAUUAGUUAUGUGCAUAGAAACAAUGAAAAUUAGAGUUGCCACUGUAUAAAAAUAAAUUCCACAUAGACUAAAGCCUUAAAUUUGAUCAAAAUAGUCUUAAAAUGUAAUAUAGAAGGAUAAAUUUAUAUUUUUGUGAUAAAAAACUAUAACUACAAUGGAAAAAAAGCACAAAUUGUAAAAUUGAUAAAUUCACAUUAAAAUUUAAAAUACCUGCAUGGCAAAAGGUAGCAAACUCAAAAGACAACAUUUUUAAAACAUAAAGUAUAGACCAAAAAAAAAAAAAAACCCAAACUAUCCAGAAUAUAUAAAGAAUAUUUUUCCUGUCUGUAAGAUAAUAAAAGCUAACCUGUAUUAGGAUCUAAUUGGUUAAUAUAUAUUAACUCCUUUGACCACCUGCAUAAAACUAUGAUACUAUUUUAAUCUCCGUUUUAUAGUAGAAAAAAAUGGAGCCACAGAGAGCUUUAGUCACACACUCAGGUACACACAACUCUAAGUGACAGAUUUUAUAUUUUGAAUUCCUGCUGACCAGCUCCAGAGUAUUAGUUCCUAACCAAUAUGCAGAACUGUGUUCCCAAAGGAUAAACAUAUAAAUAAAAAAAGAGCAAAUUGAAAAGCCCAAAUCAUUCAAUUGAACAGAAGUCAAGAGUUGGACAAGUUAUUCAUGGACAAGAAGGUCAGGGUUGCCAACAAAAGAUGAAAACAUAUCCAACAUCACUAAUCAGGGAAAUGCAAUUUGAAACCUCAGUGAAGUUUCUCACCCAUCAGAUUGACAAAUUUUCAAAAUUCUAAGAAAUACUAAACAUUGACCAGAUUUGACAAAAAAUAGGAACUGCUGCAGGGAGUGUAAAUUGGCAUAUACACUUUGGAGAGCAAGCUGGCAAUAGCUAACAAAAUUUUCACAGUACCUACCUGGUGAGUCAGCAGUUUCACUUACAGGUCUAGUGGCUUGCAAAGAAAAUGUGUAUAAGAAUGUUCAUUACUUUUAAAUAUAUAUAUGUAAUCAAAAGUUUGGAAAGAGUUUAAGGGAUUG